AUUACAGAAUAUCUUAAAAUUUCAAUACUUAUUACAGUUUAAAAGAUAAAGUAAAAAAUAAAUAUAUAUAAUAAAAAAUAGAAAAAUUAAAGUAAUAAAAAAAGGUAAUUUAAAAAGAAAAGUGUUUCCGAAUACUGGUGAUUUCAGACUGGGCGGAGACGAAUUCCGGCGAGUCUAGGGUUUAAAAGUAAAUCAUAUGAUAAAAUUACACAAAACCUCCGCCGAGAAAAAAAGGAGGAGCGAAAAAUCAUAUGAUAAAAUCGCCGCCGCUUCGUCUUCAUCAUCCUCCGUCGCCGCCGCUUCGUCUUCAUCAUCCUCCGUCGCCGCCGCCGCUUCGUCUUCAUCAUCCUCCGUCGCCAUCUUGAACAUCACAAACUCCGACAACUAAACCCUAACUUCAAUUCUGUUCGAUUCGAAUAGAUUGAUUGUUUGAUCCAUGGGGAAGAAAGGAGGAGCGAAAAAUCUCCCAAAACCGGAAUCAAAAUCUCACACUCCUAUUACACUGAGAGAAGAAGCCACUGGAAAAUUAAAAACGAAGCCAAUCGUUAACACAAAGUCACAUCUGAGAAUCGAUCAUUUGAAAAAACUUGCGGUGUGGACCACUACUAACCCUCACAUACCGUCUCUGAGUGCCUUCUAUGGUCAGCAUUUGGCCACCGUUUCAGAGUCUGCUGGUGUACCUCCUCAUCCUUCUCUACUCACUUGCCAAAGGUGCGAAACUGUUCUUCAUCCCGGCUUUAAUUCAACUGUACGGAUUGAGAAGAAUAGAUCAAAGGUCAGACACAGGCAAAAGAAGUUUGGCACCAUCGCCCAAAACAAUGUCGUGUACAAGUGCCAUUUCUGUUCACAUCAGAAUAUCAAGAGAGGUACCCCUAAGGGACAUUUGAAAAAACUAUGCCCGGCAAAAGAUAAACCAUCCUUAGAAUCAACACCCGCCACAAAACCAAUUGUACACAAAUCUUUAAAAUUAGAGAAACACAUGGUAAGCAAAGAUGAAGGCGGUGAAUUACACACUGUUGGUUCAGAAGUUGUAGUUAAGGACGUCGCCCCUAUGAAGGGUCUGGAAACUCCGUUUAGUACAAGUGCACCAACAUUGUUAGAAGCAAAGAAGAGAAAUAGAAACAAAUCCUCGUCCAAGAAUGCGUUUGAAACUCCAAGCAUGUCUGCAAGAGUAAAUACUCAGAGCACUGCGAGCAAAAGACGGAAAAAAUCAUGGACCAGUUUAAAAGAAAUUGCUAAGAGCAAAGAGAGUGAUAACAGUGGAGUUGCUAAUUUGACAAUCCCAUUUUUUUAUAACUUGGAAGAUUUCUGCAUAGUUGAAAUGAUUCUUUUGCAUGCACACGAAUUAGGAAAACAAUUUCGUGUUGUGAUAGUUGACUCUCGUCCAAAGCUUAGAGGACAACAGUUACUCCGCAGGCUUGUGGAGAAAGGUCUUAACUGUACAUACACUCAUAUAAAUGCUGUUUCCUACAUUAUGCAUGAAGUUAGUCGAGUUUUUCUGGGUGCUGAAUCAAUAUUGUCUAAUGGAACGGUAUAUUCAAGAGUGGGGACUGCAAGUGUCGCAAUGGUUGCUCAUGCAUCCCGUGUACCUGUCAUAGUAUGUUGUGAGGCCUAUAAAUUUCAUGAAAGGGUACAGCUGGACUCGAUUUGCUCGAAUGAACUUGGUGAUCCAGAUGCCAUUUCAAGUGUUCAAGGUAGAGUGGAUGUCAACCACUUGGAUGGUUGGUCCGAUAUCGAAAAUCUGCAACUUCUAAAUCUGAUUUAUGAUGCAAUGCCUUCAGAUUACGUUUCAAUGAUAGUCACAGAUUAUGGAAUGGGGAAUGAUGCUGGGAAGGUUGUGGCGUCUUCGUUUCCGAGAGGUGGAUUUGAUUUGACGGCUUUGAAGGGGAAUGGUGCUGUUGUUCCGGCGAGUGGGUUGACUACUGUUUCUGUUGUUAAUGAUUCGCUUGGGAUUGGGAUUCCUGAAAAAGAAAAAGCAAACAAAGGAGGAGGAUCAGCUGUGGAAAUGAAAGACCAAUCUACUAAUUCAAAACAGGAGAAACCAAAACCCACAAAAGCUGAAAGACGUGCACUUCAAGAAGCUUAACGAGCUGCAAAGGCUGCUGCAAAAGGCGAAGGAAAUAAGGCCUCUGCAACUGCUACAUCGGUGAAUGCAAAACCUGCUAAAGCAGUAAAGCCUGCACAGAAAGCUGAUAAUGCAUCAGUUGCAGCCACUGAGAAGAAGGGGAGUGAUUUCCCCCAUGAAAAGGAUAGAAAGAAAGAUGCCCCUCAACCACGCUUGCAGUAUGAUGACAAGAGCCGGGUGGAGAAAGCUAAACGUCGUUCUAUAGUGAAACACACUGAGGCUAGGAACAGAGUUGAGUUGUUCAGGCACUUACCACAAUAUGAACAUGGGAGUCAGCUUCCAGAUCUUGAGGCAAAGUUUUUCGAUUUUUAUCCUGUGCACCCUGCUGUUUAUAAGGUGGGUUUGCAGUACAUAUCUGGAGAUAUAUCUGGUGGCAAUGAUCGUUGUAUUGCAAUGCUCCAAGCAUUUCAAGAGGCCAUCAAAGACUACAAGGUUCCACCUGAGAAGAGUCUCGGGAGAGAUUUGACAGCAAAAAUUGGUAGUUAUGUAUCAUUUCUUAUUGAGUGCCGACCUCUGUCAAUCAGCAUGGGAAAUGCAAUUAGAUUUCUCAAGAGUCAGAUAGCCAAGCUUCCUUUAACCUUGUCUGAGUCAGAAGCAAAAACUUCUCUCCAGUCAGAUAUUGAGCGUUUUAUAAAUGAGAAGAUCAUACUUGCCAACAAGGUGAUAGUCAAGCAUGCUGUCACCAAAAUAAGAGAUGGGGAUGUUCUUCUAACAUACGGGUCAUCAUUGGCAGUUGAAAUGAUUCUUUUGCAUGCACACGAAUUAGGAAAACAAUUUCGUGUUGUGAUAGUUGACUCUCGUCCAAAGCUUAGAGGCCAACGGUUACUCCGCAGGCUUGUGGAGAAAGGUCUUAACUGUACAUACACUCAUAUAAAUGCUGUUUCCUACAUUAUGCAUGAAGUUAGUCGAGUUUUUCUGGGUGCUGAAUCAAUAUUGUCUAAUGGAACGGUAUAUUCAAGAGUGGGGACUGCAAGUGUCGCAAUGGUUGCUCAUGCAUCCCGUGUACCAGUCAUAGUAUGUUGUGAGGCCUAUAAAUUUCAUGAAAGGGUACAGCUGGACUCGAUUUGCUCGAAUGAACUUGGUGAUCCAGAUGCCAUUUCAAGUGUUCAAGGUAGAGUGGAUGUCAACCACUUGGAUGGUUGGUCCGAUAUUGAAAAUCUGCAACUUCUAAAUCUGAUUUAUGACGCAAUGCCUUCAGAUUACGUUUCAAUGAUAGUCACAGAUUAUGGAAUGGUCCCCCCACAAGUGUACCUGUAAUUGUAAGAGAAUAUGGGAGAGAACAGGUCUGGAUAUAAAUUAUUGAAAUGCAAAGGCCUGGUAGGAAUGGGUUGUAAGAGAAAAUGGGAGAGAACAGGUGUGGCUAUAAAUGAUGCAAAGGCAAAGGCCUGGUAGGAAUGGAUUGUAAGAGAACAUGAAAAUGAACAGGUCUGCAUAUAAAUUAUGCAUUGCGAAUGCCUGUAGGAAUAAAUUUUGAAAUUAUUGUAAUUCAUGUUUAUCGAUUAUUUUCCAUAUUGGAAUUAUGUGCCUCUUUGUUAGGAAAUUUUAGACAUUUCUAUAUUCAACUGUCCUAGCGAAGAGAGCAAACAUUUUGCCUCUCCAGGCAGAUUUAGGUAUGUAUUUUCAUUCACAACAGUUCUUCUUUCUCUUCUAUUGUUUUUCAAGUAUCGGAUAAGUUGUCUCACAA